UUACAGCAGCUGCUGGCCAUGGCUGACUAGCCAGAGAUUACAUCUAAGCAGGGUCAAACCUUUGACAUUUUGAGCUGGAACUAAGGUUCGAGUUUCUGCUCUUCCCGGCAUUCGAACUCAGCCACAGCACCACCUCUAGUCUCAAAGUCAUACAUCUACCCAGCUCUCGGUGACACCUCCUGCCUGGCAGCGUGAGUCUCAACCUCUAAUUCCAGCAGACUCCUACAGGCCCAGCCGGGGUCAGAUGUCCACACAUGCCCAGCCAGAUGGGCUCCUGGAUAUUAAACAGAAGGACGUUUCCACAGGUGACCAGCCAAGUGUGAGUUCUAACUACCACUCAGGAGCUGUAACGGCCUGGACAAGCUACUCUGUGUCUUUGAGCCUUAAUUUGUUCAUCUGUAUAGUAUCUAUCUCAUAGAAUUGCUGGGGAUUAAAUACAGCAGUGCUAUUAAAAUGAAUCUGUUAGACAAUAAUGGCCUUUAGAAAAUGAGUUCUCUCUCUAUCCCAGGAUCUCAGACAGCUCUGUGGUCCCAAAGAACAAGAUGACCUUACAGCAAGGUGCUUCUGAUCAGGCGUUGCUGGGAUUCAAAAUGUUCACUUUGAGGAGAAAAGUAAAAGCUUUGCCACACACCAUGGGUGUCUCCACUACAAAGGGAGGAGGUGGCAUAGAAUGUGGAUCCAGGUCAUUGGAGUCAAACUCUGGCUCUGUUCCCAACUGGCCAUGGGAUGUAAAGCUCAGUUCUCAGUCCUCAUCCUCAGUUGCCCUGACUGUACACUAGAAUCACAGCAUCUCUCUUAAAGGAUUAAGGGAGAUAGCUAAGCAACCCAUUCAGCAUGAUUGUCUGGAGUUAGGCAA